rnacentral:rRNA from 1 species
CCUACGGGAGGCAGCAGUGAGGAAUAUUGGUCAAUGGACGGAAGCCUGAACCAGCCAAGCCGCGUGAAGGAUGACUGCCCUACGAGUUGUAAACUUCUUUUGUAAAAGAGUAAAGUGAGACACGUGUGCCUUUUUGUAUGUACUUUAUGAAUAAGGAUCGGCUAACUCCGUGCCAGCAGCCGCGGUAAUACGGAGGAUCCGGGCGUUAUCCGGAUUUAUUGGGUUUAAAGGGAGCGUAGGUGGGGUGUUAAGUCAGCUGUGAAAGGUUGCGGCUCAACCGUAGCACUGCCAUUGAUACUGGCAGUCUUGAGUGCAGGUGAGGUAUGCGGAAUUCGUGGUGUAGCGGUGAAAUGCUUAGAUAUCACGAAGAACUCCGAUUGCGAAGGCAGCUUACGAAACCGCCACUGACACUGAAGCUCGAAGGCGCGGGUAUCAAACAGGAUUAGAUACCCGAGUAGUC